rfam:Ciona savignyi cont_42475, whole genome shotgun sequence.
AUAACUUGCGGAUCGCACGGUCUAGCACCGGCGACGGAUCAUUCAAGUGUCUGCCCUAUCAACUUUGGUCGGUACGGUAUUUGCCUACCGAGGUUCUUACGGGUGACGGGGAAUCAGGGUUCGAUUCCGGAGAGGGAGCCUGAGAAACGGCUACCACAUCCAAGGAAGGCAGCAGGCGCGCAAAUUACCCAUUCCCGACGCGGGGAGGUAGUGACGAAAAAUAACAAUGCAGGACUCGUUCGAGGCCCUGUAAUUGGAAUGAGUACACUUUAAAAGCUUUAACGAGUAUCCAUUGGAGGGCAAGUCUGGUGCCAGCAGCCGCGGUAAUUCCAGCUCCAAAAGUAUAUAUUUAAGUUGUUGCGGUUAAAAAGCUCGUAGUUGGAUUUUGGGCGCAGGCGGCCGGUCCGUCGCAAGGCGUGUACUGGACGUCCUGGCCUUCCCUCCGGUUCUCCGCCGGUGCUCUCCACUGAGUGUCGGCGGCGGCCGGAACGUUUACUUUGAAAAAAUUAGAGUGUUCAAAGCAGGCUCUCGAGCCUGGAUAAUGGUGCAUGGAAUAAUGGAAUAGGACCUCGGUUCUAUUUUGUUGGUUUUCGGAGCGCGAGGUAAUGAUUAAGAGGGACAGACGGGGGCAUUCGUACUGUGCCGUUAGAGGUGAAAUUCUUGGAUCGGCGCAAGACGAACGACUGCGAAAGCAUUUGCCAAGAAUGUUUUCUUUAAUCAAGAGCGAAAGUCAGAGGUUCGAAGACGAUCAGAUACCGUCCUAGUUCUGACUAUAAACGAUGCCAACUAGCGAUCGGGGGGCGUUACAUUGACGACCCCUCCGGCAGCUUACGGGAAACCAAAGUCUUUGGGUUCCGGGGGAAGUAUGGUUGCAAAGCUGAAACUUAAAGGAAUUGACGGAAGGGCACCACCAGGAGUGGAGCCUGCGGCUUAAUUUGACUCAACACGGGAAAUCUCACCCGGCCCGGACACAGUGAGGAUUGACAGAUUGAGAGCUCUUUCUUGAUUCUGGUGGCGUGGUGGAUGCAUGGCCGUUUCUUAGUUGGUGGAGCGAUUUGUCUGGUUAAUUCCGAUAACGAACGAGACUCUGGCUUGCUAA